UACGUAGGGGGCAAGCGUUGUCCGGACUUAUUGGGCGUAAAGAGCGUGUAGGCGGUCCGGUAAGUCCGCUGUGAAAGUCCAGGGCUCAACCCUGGAAUGCCGGUGGAUACUGCCGGGCUAGAGUCCGGAAGAGGCGAGUGGAAUUCCUGGUGUAGCGGUGAAAUGCGCAGAUAUCAGGAGGAACACCGAUGGCGAAGGCAGCUCGCUGGGACGGUACUGACGCUGAGACGCGAAAGCGUGGGGAGCAAACAGG
rnacentral:rRNA from 1 species